rnacentral:rRNA from 1 species
AUGACACACUUGGAAAAUAUUUUAACACUAGGAAAGGGAGUGCCAGAAAUCUUGAGUUUAUUUUGUGCAUUUUUAACGUCUAUUAUUGGUUUGAAGAUUAAUUUGCACAAGAGUGAGGUCACUUGUUUUGGUACAGCUGUAGACAGGCAGGAUAUCUAUGCUCAUAUCUUUACCUGCAAUGUCGGUAGCAGGUUGGUACUCAUAGAAGUUGCUUUAAGUAAUGUUCCAAGUUAUAUGCUCUCUUUUCUUAGAAUUCCCGUAGGGGUGACUAGGCGGUUUGAUUAUUAUUUUUUUCGAGCUAGAAUGUUGUGGCAAGUGAAACAGGGGGUGAAACAAUACCACCUGGUUCGAUGGCCUGACGUUUUUCAACCUAGAGAACAAGAGGGGUUGGGUUUCACUGGUUUGCAGAUUAAAAAUAUUAGUCUCUUGUGCAAGUGA